GAGGGUGUAGCUCAGAUGGCAGAGCACAAGGUUGUGGCCCUUUGGGGUCAGACAGGGUUCCAAGAAUCCCGUCACCCUCC
rnacentral:tRNA from 1 species